rnacentral:rRNA from 1 species
AGAGUUUGAUCCUGGCUCAGGACGAACGCUGGCGGCGUGCCUAAUACAUGCAAGUCGAGCGAGCUUGCCUAUAGAAAUUCUUCGGAAUGGACAUAGAUACAAGCUAGCGGCGGAUGGGUGAGUAACGCGUGGGUAACCUGCCCUUAAGUCUGGGAUACCAUUUGGAAACAGAUGCUAAUACCGGAUAAAAGCUACUUUCGCAUGAAAGAAGUUUAAAAGGCGGCGUAAGCUGUCGCUAAAGGAUGGACCUGCGAUGCAUUAGCUAGUUGGUAAGGUAACGGCUUACCAAGGCGAUGAUGCAUAGCCGAGUUGAGAGACUGAUCGGCCACAUUGGGACUGAGACACGGCCCAAACUCCUACGGGAGGCAGCAGUAGGGAAUCUUCCACAAUGGACGAAAGUCUGAUGGAGCAACGCCGCGUGAGUGAAGAAGGUUUUCGGAUCGUAAAGCUCUGUUGUUGGUGAAGAAGGAUAGAGGUAGUAACUGGCCUUUAUUUGACGGUAAUCAACCAGAAAGUCACGGCUAACUACGUGCCAGCAGCCGCGGUAAUACGUAGGUGGCAAGCGUUGUCCGGAUUUAUUGGGCGUAAAGCGAGCGCAGGCGGAUUGAUAAGUCUGAUGUGAAAGCCUUCGGCUCAACCGAAGAACUGCAUCAGAAACUGUCAAUCUUGAGUGCAGAAGAGGAGAGUGGAACUCCAUGUGUAGCGGUGGAAUGCGUAGAUAUAUGGAAGAACACCAGUGGCGAAGGCGGCUCUCUGGUCUGUAACUGACGCUGAGGCUCGAAAGCAUGGGUAGCGAACAGGAUUAGAUACCCUGGUAGUCCAUGCCGUAAACGAUGAGUGCUAAGUGUUGGGAGGUUUCCGCCUCUCAGUGCUGCAGCUAACGCAUUAAGCACUCCGCCUGGGGAGUACGACCGCAAGGUUGAAACUCAAAGGAAUUGACGGGGGCCCGCACAAGCGGUGGAGCAUGUGGUUUAAUUCGAAGCAACGCGAAGAACCUUACCAGGUCUUGACAUCCUUUGACCACCUAAGAGAUUAGGUUUUCCCUUCGGGGACAAAGAGACAGGUGGUGCAUGGCUGUCGUCAGCUCGUGUCGUGAGA